GUUUAUAUCUAUUGAUGUAAGCUCCCUUUCAAUUUUUAUAAAUUUCAGAUUUUAAGUUUUGGAUUUAUGGGGCUUUAUUCAUAAAAAAGGGGGAUUUUUAACACUUCGGACAAUAACUCAAAAAGGCUUUCACCAAUGUCCAUGAAACUUUGGUGAAUUGUUUAUAUCUAUUGAUGUAAGCUCCCUUUCAAUUUUUAUAAAUUUCAGAUUUUACAUUUCCGUGUUAUGAAUUUUUAUGCUUAAAAAAGGGGGGAUUUUCAAAUUUUGGGACAAUAACUAACACUUUCACAAAAUUUUAUGCAACUUUGAUAAAUUGUUUAUAUCUAUUGACCUUAAUAGUGCCAAUUUUUUUGUGCAUUUUUAUUUAUUAUUUGGGGGGGGGGGGGGGUAUUUGACAGGGCUCACACUAUUUCUAGUUGAUCAUAUAAAUUCAUUUAAAGCAUAAAAGACAAGUUAAAAGAGCAACGGGCGUAUCAUGCGCUAAAGCGCAGCCCUUUAUUUAUAUUCCUUCA
rnacentral:lncRNA from 1 species